rnacentral:lncRNA from 1 species
UCCCUCUGGGGAGACCGUCCUUGCGCUGUGGCUGCGGCCAGCAGCAACCAAAGGGAAGAGGAGACCCGAGCCGCUCUGUGCAGCAAGUAGUUAGUCCCCGAGCCUUCCCGCGCCUGCUCAGCUGCUGUCGGGCCAGGUCCCGGAGCUGCUACCUGCAGCCAGGCCGCUAGCCAUGCCAGCCGCGCCGGUCCUGCGCCCUCCGCCGCCACCGGCGACCCCUGCCCCGCCGGCACCCAGCCGCCCUGCGCCUGCUAUCUCGGGCCAUCGGGGUCCGUGUGACCAUUCUCUAAAAUGCUUAAGCUCGAAGAUCUCUGAGAGAAAGUUGCCAGGCUCCUGGCUGCCUUCGGGACGAGGACCUCUGGAGAAGCCAGUCCUGGGGCCACGUGGUGCCGUCAUGCCGAUGUUCAGCCCUCAGAGUAGCCUCCACUCAGUCCGCGCAGAGCACAGCCCACUGAAGCCCAGGGUGGUUACGGUGGUGAAGCUGGGCGUGCAGCCCCUCCGCAAGGCCACCCUGCUCCUCAACAGGCGGUCAGUGCAGACCUUUGAGCAGCUCCUGUCGGACAUCUCUGAAGCCUUGGGCUUCCCGCGAUGGAAGAAUGACCGUGUGCGGAAGCUGUUCACCCUCAAGGGCAGGGAG